rnacentral:rRNA from 1 species
CACACCGCCCGUCACACCACGAAAGUUUGUUGUACCUGAAGUCGUUGGCGCCAACCGCAAGGAGGCAGACGCCCACGGUAUGACCGAUGAUUGGGAUG